rnacentral:rRNA from 1 species
AGUGAACGCUGGCGGUAGGCCUAACACAUGCAAGUCGAACGGCAGCACAGUAAGAGCUUGCUCUUACGGGUGGCGAGUGGCGGACGGGUGAGGAAUACAUCGGAAUCUACUUUUUCGUGGGGGAUAACGUAGGGAAACUUACGCUAAUACCGCAUACGACCUACGGGUGAAAGCAGGGGAUCUUCGGACCUUGCGCGAUUGAAUGAGCCGAUGUCGGAUUAGCUAGUUGGCGGGGUAAGGGCCCACCAAGGCGACGAUCCGUAGCUGGUCUGAGAGGAUGAUCAGCCACACUGGAACUGAGACACGGUCCAGACUCCUACGGGAGGCAGCAGUGGGGAAUAUUGGACAAUGGGCGCAAGCCUGAUCCAGCCAUACCGCGUGGGUGAAGAAGGCCUUCGGGUUGUAAAACCCUUUUGUUGGGAAAGAAAAGCAGCAGGUUAAUACCCCGCUGUUCUGACGGUACCCAAAGAAUAAGCACCGGCUAACUUCGUG